rnacentral:ncRNA from 1 species
CCAAUCAACCCAAAAGAACUGUAAAUAUACCAGAACCCUAAUGGAAGUUCGUAAGAACUAGAGUACAAUGGCUAUACAACGGCAAUCUAUAUAUCUAUAGAUAAAAGGAGAGAAGGAUAGGGGUUAUCUGUGAAAUAAGAGAUAUGAAUACACAGAGCAGUUCUUUU